rnacentral:rRNA from 1 species
UGCCGUCGAAAGUCUAAGGUUUCCUGGGGAAGGUUCGUCCGCCCAGGGUAAGUCGGGAACUAAGCUGAGGCCGAAAGGCGUAGGCGAUGUCCAACUGGUAGAUAUUCCAGUACCACCAAAAAACGAUAAAGAGCGAUGCAGUGACACAGUAGGAUAGUGGAUGCACGGUGAUGGAAAUCCGUGUCUAAAUCAUGAGGGGUCUUGUGAGUUAAGUACCAUAAGAGCACACCCUAGGUGAUGAUGGGGAGUGAAAUUUAGUAACGAAGUCCAUGAAUUCACACUGGCGAGAAAAGCUGCUAAGUAGUUUUAGGUGCCCGUACCGCAAACCGACACAGGUAGACGAUGAGAGAAUCAUAAGACGAACGGGAUAACCCUUGUUAAGGAACUCGGCAAAAUGACCCCGUAACUUCGGGAGAAGGGGUGCCAACAGAAAUGUUGGUCGCAGUGAAAUGGCCCAAGCGACUGUUUACCAAAAACACAGGUCUCUGCUAAAUCGUAAGAUGAAGUAUAGGGGCUGACGCCUGCCCGGUGCUGGAAGGUUAAGAGGAGAUGUUAGCGCAAGCAAAGCGUUGAAUUUAAGCCCCAGUGAACGGCGGCCGUAACUAUAACGGUCCUAAGGUAGCGAAAUUCCUUGUCAGGUAAGUUCUGACCCGCAUGAAUGGCGUAACGAUUUGGGCGCUGUCUCAACAGGGGACCCGGCGAAAUUGAAGUAUGCGUGAAGAUGCGUAUUACCCGCGACUAGACGGAAAGACCCCGUAGAGCUUUACUGUAAUUUGACAUUGAGUUCCGAAUUGCGAUGUACAGGAUAGGUGGGAGGCUUUGAAGCCAGGGCGUCAGCCUUGGUGGAGCCAACCUUGGGAUACCACCCUUUGCAAUUUGGAAUUCUAACGCUACGCGUUAAUCACGGUAUGCGGACAGUGUCUGAUGGACAGUUUGACUGGGGCGGUCGCCUCCUAAAGAGUAACGGAGGCGUUCAAAGGUUCCCUCAGGAUGGUUGGAAACCAUCUGUAAGAGUGCAAAGGCAGAAGGGAGCUUAACUGCGACACCUACAAGUGGAGCAGAUACGAAAGUAGGACUUAGUGAUCCGGUGGUAGAGUAUGGAAUCGCCAUCGCUUAACGGAUAAAAGUUACCUCGGGGAUAACAGGCUGAUCUCUCCCAAGAGUUCACAUCGACGGGGAGGUUUGGCACCUCGAUGUCGGCUCGUCACAUCCUGGGGCUGUAGUAGGUCCCAAGGGUUCGGCUGUUCGCCGAUUAAAGUGGCACGCGAGCUGGGUUCAGA